rnacentral:rRNA from 1 species
GGCUCAGGAUGAACGCUAGCGGCAGGCUUAAUACAUGCAAGUCGUGGGGCAGCAGGUUUGUAGCAAUACAGAUGCUGGCGACCGGCAAACGGGUGCGGAACACGUACAGAACCUUCCUUUGAGCGGGGAAUAGCCCAGAGAAAUUUGGAUUAAUACCCCAUAGUAUAAUGAAGUGGCAUCACUUUAUUAUUAAAGAUUUAUCACUCGAAGAUGGCUGUGCGGCUGAUUAGGUAGUUGGCGGGGUAAAUGCCCACCAAGCCUGCGAUCAGUAACUGGUGUGAGAGCACGACCAGUCACACGGGCACUGAGACACGGGCCCGACUCCUACGGGAGGCAGCAGUAAGGAAUAUUGGUCAAUGGAGGCAACUCUGAACCAGCCAUGCCGCGUGGAGGAUGAAGGUCCUCUGGAUUGUAAACUUCUUUUAUAUGGGACGAAAAAGGCUUUUCUAAGUCGUCUGACGGUACCAUAUGAAUAAGCACCGGCUAACUCCGUG